AGCGAACGCUGGCUGCAGGCCUAACACAUGCAAGUCGAACGAACCUUUCGGGGUUAGUGGCGGACGGGUGAGUAACACGUGGGAACGUGCCUUUAGGUUCGGAAUAACUCAGGGAAACUUGUGCUAAUACCGAAUGUGCCCUUCGGGGGAAAGAUUUAUCGCCUUUAGAGCGGCCUGCGUCUGAUUAGCUAGUUGGUUGAGGUAAUGGCUCACCAAGGCGACGAUCAGUAGCUGGUCUGAGAGGAUGAUCAGCCACAUUGGGACUGAGACACGGCCCAAACUCCUACGGGAGGCAGCAGUGGGGAAUCUUGCGCAAUGGGCGAAAGCCUGACGCAGCCAUGCCGCGUGAAUGAUGAAGGUCUUAGGAUUGUAAAAUUCUUUCACCGGGGACGAUAAUGACGGUACCCGGAGAAGAAGCCCCGGCUAACUUCGUG
rnacentral:rRNA from 1 species